GCUUGUCUCAAAGAUUAAGCCAUGCAUGUCUAAGUGUAAAUACGUCUACACUGUGAAACUGCGAAUGGCUCAUUAAAUCAGUUAUCGUUUAUUUGAUGAUCUCUUGUUACAUGGAUAACCGUAGUAAUUCUAGAGCUAAUACAUGCGUCAAGCCCCGACUUCGGAAGGGGUGUAUUUAUUAGAUAAAAAUCAACUUUGUUGGUGAAUCAUAAUAACUUCUCGGACCGCAUGGCCUCGUGCUGGCGGUGCUUCAUUCAAAUAUCUGCCCUAUCAACUGUCGAUGGUAGGAUAGAGGCCUACCAUGGUUGCAACGGGUAACGGGGAAUAAGGGUUCGAUUCCGGAGAGGGAGCCUGAGAAACGGCUACCACAUCCAAGGAAGGCAGCAGG
rnacentral:rRNA from 1 species